rnacentral:rRNA from 1 species
GGUUCGAUUCUGGCUCGAUUGAACGCUGGUGCGGGAUGCUUUACACAUGCAAGUCGAACGGCAGCACGGACUUCGGUCUGGCGGCGAGUGGCGAACGGGUGAGUAAUGUAUCGGAACGCCUAGUAUGGGGAUAACUACGAAAGUACUACUACCGUACAUUGCCCUUCGGGGGAAAGCGGGGACCUUCGGCCCGCACUAUUAGAGCGGCCGAUAUCGGAUUAGCGAAGUGGUGGGGUAACGGCUCACCAAGGCGACGAUCCGUAGCUGGUUUGAGAGGACGACCAGCCACACUGGGACUGGAGACACGGCCCAGACUCCUACGGGAGGCAGCAGUGGGGAAUUUUGGACAAUGGGGAACUUUGAUCCAGCCAUCCCGCGUGCGAUGGAAGGCCUUCGGGUUAAAGCACUUUGGCAGGAAAGAAACGGCACGGGAUAAUACCCUGUGCAACUGACGGUACCUGCAGAAUAAGCACCGGCUAACUACGUACAGCAGCCAUGGUGGAAUACGUAGGGUGGUGCAAGCGUUAACGGGAAUUACUGGGCGUAAAGCGUGCGCAGGUUCGGAAAGAAAGAUGUGAAAUCCCAGAGCUUAACUUGGAACUGCAUUUUUAACUACCGAGCUAGAGUGUGUCAGAGGGAGGUGAAUUCCGCGUAGCAGUGAAAUGCGUAGAUAUGCGGAGGGAACACCGAUACAUGCAGCCUCCUGGGAUAACACUGACGUUCAUGGCACGAAAGCGUGGGGAGCAAACAGGAUUAGGAUAUCCGGUAGUCCACGCCUCAAACGAUGUCAAUCAGCUGUUGGGGCCUCGGGCUCGGUAGCAGCGCUAACGCGGGUGAAGUUGACCGCCUGGGGAGUACGGUCGCAAGAUUAAAACCUGUGCUGGAAUUGACGGGAUCCCGCACACGGUGGAUGAUGUGGAUUAAUUCGGAUGCAAAUGCGAAAACCUUACCCCACCCUUGACAUGUCUGGAAUCCCGAAGAGAUUUGGGAGUGCUCGCAAGAGAACCGAAACACAGGUGCUGGCAUGGCUGUCGUCAGCUCGGGUCGUGAGACAAGUUGGGUUAAGUCCCGGGCAACGGUGCGCGAACCUUGUCAUUAGUUGAGCGCGAAAGGGCACUCUCAAUGAGACUGCCGGUGACAAACCGGAGGAAGGUGGGGACGACGUCAAGUCCUCAUGGCCCUUAAGGGUAGGGCUUCACACGUCAUACAAUGGUCGGGACAGAGGGUCGCCAACCCGCGAGGGGAGCCAAUCCCAGAAACCCGAUCGUAGUCCGGAUCGCAGUCUGCACCGGACUGCGUGAAGUCGGAAUCGCUAGUAAUCGCGGAUCAGCAUGUCGCGGUGAAUACGUUCCCGGGUCUUAUACAUCACUGCCUGUCACACCAUGGGAGUGGCUUUACCAGAAGUAGUUGAAUGAAUCCGUAAGGAGGCGAUUACCACGGUAGGAUUCAUGACUGGGGUGAAGUCGUAACAAGGUAG